GGUAAUGCAGGCGGAGUCAGGGAGGGACAGGCCGUGGCUGCUGACACUCCUAGUCUCCUGGCCCCUCCUUUCUGGCCUGGCUGCCGCUGCCUUGCUCGCCUCUGGCCAUCUGAUGAAAGGAAGCUGACCCUGGGCUUAAUUGCAAUUUCUGGCUUCAAAGCAGAGAGUGACACAGAAAAGGACUCCGAUCUUGGAGACUCCGUGACAGGUUUGCUAUGAAAUUUUCCUCUGAGAAAGGCGAGACGCAGAAAAGAAACUAAUAUUCAUAGGACGCCUUUGAAUUGAAUGCAUCACGUGACGGGUGGAUACCUAUAAAUGCUCUACCUGGAUGUGACAGAAAGAAGCCAAGCAGGCACACGACAAGGUCACUCUCUCCAACAGGUGGCUUCCAUGUCUGUGUGAAGGAGGCGAAGAAGUGCUAUCACGCUGGCCCCAGCUCCCUUUAGGAAAUUCUUUGAAAUCUGCUUUAGUGCACAAAGGAUCAAGCGCUUAUAUUUGAGAGACUAAAAUCAUACCCUCUUUUUAUUUAAUACAGGUUUUUUUUUUUCUUUCUGUUUUGUGUAGAUCGGCAUAUAUAGCCAGCACAAUAAAGAGGUCACAAAUAAACAGGUUUAAAGAGUAUAGAAAACUGUAAGUUCUCUGUAGCAUUCCUAUGCGAAGUUAGAGAUCUGCACUUGGACACAAAGGAGGAUGGAGAUGAAGAGGUUGCUUCAGAAGAACAAGACGCAGGUUUUCAGAGCCGUCGUGGUCAGGGGUGGAGAAGAGGCAUCGCUCAGCAUCUGCAGAUAACUUUGUGCAAAGAUGAAAAGAACAUUCGAGUUAACAAAACAAGUGAAAAAUCACUGCCAAGAGGAAAGCGGGAAUAUGGAAAACAAGCAUGAACAGCCACCAAGGGGAACAGCAAACACGCAGAAAAGAGGUGACUCCACAGGCCAUAUUGAGGUGGCUCGGUGAACCCAUGGCCGGCUGAGCACA
rnacentral:lncRNA from 1 species